UUCGCCCUUAGAGUUUGAUCCUGGCUCAGAGCGAACGCUGGCGGCAGGCUUAACACAUGCAAGUCGAGCGGGCGUAGCAAUACGUCAGCGGCAGACAGGUGAGUAACGCGUGGGAACGUACCUUUUGGUUCGGAACAACACAGGGAAACUUGUGCUAAUACCGGAUAAGCCCUUACGGGGAAAGAUUUAUCGCCGAAAGAUCGGCCCGCGUCUGAUUAGCUAGUUGGUGAGGUAACGGCUCACCAAGGCGACGAUCAGUAGCUGGUCUGAGAGGAUGAUCAGCCACAUUGGGACUGAGACACGGCCCAAACUCCUACGGGAGGCAGCAGUGGGGAAUAUUGGACAAUGGGGGCAACCCUGAUCCAGCCAUGCCGCGUGAGUGAUGAAGGCCCUAGGGUUGUAAAGCUCUUUUGUGCGGGAAGAUAAUGACGGUACCGCAAGAAUAAGCCCCGGCUAACUUCGUGCCAGCAGCCGCGGUAAUACGAAGGGGGCUAGCGUUGCUCGGAAUCACUGGGCGUAAAGGGUGCGUAGGCGGAUCUUUAAGUCAGAGGUGAAAGCCUGGAGCUCAACUCCAGAACUGCCUUUGAUACUGGGGAUCUUGAGUUCGGGAGAGGUGAGUGGAACUGCGAGUGUAGAGGUGAAAUUCGUAGAUAUUCGCAAGAACACCAGUGGCGAAGGCGGCUCACUGGCCCGAUACUGACGCUGAGGCACGAAAGCGUGGGGAGCAAACAGGAUUAGAUACCCUGGUAGUCCACGCCGUAAACGAUGA
rnacentral:rRNA from 1 species